UUUGAUCCUGGCUCAGAUUGAACGCUGGCGGCAUGCCUUACACAUGCAAGUCGAACGGCAGCACGGGAGCAAUCCUGGUGGCGAGUGGCGAACGGGUGAGUAAUACAUCGGAACGUGCCCAAUCGUGGGGGAUAACGCAGCGAAAGCUGUGCUAAUACCGCAUAAGAUCUAAGGAUGAAAGCAGGGGACCGCAAGGCCUUGCGCGAAUGGAGCGGCCGAUGGCAGAUUAGGUAGUUGGUGAGGUAAAGGCUCACCAAGCCUUCGAUCUGUAGCUGGUCUGAGAGGACGACCAGCCACACUGGGACUGAGACACGGCCCAGACUCCUACGGGAGGCAGCAGUGGGGAAUUUUGGACAAUGGGCGCAAGCCUGAUCCAGCCAUGCCGCGUGCAGGAUGAAGGCCUUCGGGUUGUAAACUGCUUUUGUACGGAACGAAACGGCCUUUUCUAAUAAAGAGGGCUAAUGACGGUACCGUAAGAAUAAGCACCGGCUAACUACGUGCCAGCAGCCGCGGUAAUACGUAGGGUGCAAGCGUUAAUCGGAAUUACUGGGCGUAAAGCGUGCGCAGGCGGUGAUGUAAGACAGUUGUGAAAUCCCCGGGCUCAACCUGGGAACUGCAUCUGUGACUGCAUCGCUGGAGUGCGGCAGAGGGGGAUGGAAUUCCGCGUGUAGCAGUGAAAUGCGUAGAUAUGCGGAGGAACACCGAUGGCGAAGGCAAUCCCCUGGGCCUGCACUGACGCUCAUGCACGAAAGCGUGGGGAGCAAACAGGAUUAGAUACCCUGUAGUCCACGCCCUAAACGAUGUCAACUGGUUGUUGGGUCUUCACUGACUCAGUAACGAAGCUAACGCGUGAAGUUGACCGCCUGGGGAGUACGGCCGCAAGGUUGAAGCUCAAAGGAAUUGACGGGGACCCGCGCAAGCGGUGGAUGAUGUGGUUUAAUUCGAUGCAACGCGAAAAACCUUACCCACCUUUGACAUGUACGGAAUUUGCCAGAGAUGGCUUAGUGCUCGAAAGAGAACCGUAACACAGGUGCUGCAUGGCUGUCGUCAGCUCGUGUCGUGAGAUGUUGGGUUAAGUCCCGCAACGAGCGCAACCCUUGUCAUUAGUUGCUACAUUCAGUUGGGCACUCUAGUGAGACUGCCGGUGACAAACCGGAGGAAGGUGGGGAUGACGUCAAGUCCUCAUGGCCCUUAUAGGUGGGGCUACACACGUCAUACAAUGGCUGGUACAAAGGGUUGCCAACCCGCGAGGGGGAGCUAAUCCCAUAAAACCAGUCGUAGUCCGGAUCGCAGUCUGCAACUCGACUGCGUGAAGUCGGAAUCGCUAGUAAUCGUGGAUCAGAAUGUCACGGUGAAUACGUUCCCGGGUCUUGUACACACCGCCCGUCACACCAUGGGAGCGGGUUCUGCCAGAAGUAGUUAGCCUAACCGCAAGGAGGGCGAUUACCACGGCAGGGUUCGUGACUGGGGUGAAGUCGUAACAAGGUA
rnacentral:rRNA from 1 species